GGGUUAUCUGUUUAACCAUUAACUAAAACCUUACAAUCAAAACUGAACCGUUAACUCAAUAAUUGUUUUUUUAUAAAACCGUUAAUCCAAUAACCCGAUACGGAUAAACCAAUAACAUUUUUUUUCAGUUCGGUUUAUCUGUUAAACUAGUCUUUGCACAUCCCUACUAAGAAGUUACUAAUACCGUGGUCCCAUAUCCUCCUAUCAUCAUAAAUUGUAAAAAAGUUCUUCCUAAUCACAAUGGUUUUUUUCUUUUUGAAAAGGUAAGCAAGUUAUUCAAAAGAUGAACUUUUUUGCAGUUAAUGCUAUUGCAUCAUUGGCAUUAUAUAUUUGGUACCAAAGUAUAAAUUGUUUGAAUCCUGCUGCUAAUCUACCUUUUUUCUCUCUUGAGAUCUAUAAUUGCUGAACUAUAAAACUAGUUAUUAUCAAUCUGGAAUGUGGUAUGAUUUUUCUGGUAAUUAUCUUGUCUUCCAAUAAGAGAUUCAUCCAGCAUGUAAUUUCACACAGGAAAGGGCAUCUAAGCCUUGAGGGCGCAAUUGAUGAUUCUCCCUUCCACAGACCAAUUAGUAAAUGGCUACUUCUGUCCAGAUUUUCCCUCUUGCUUAGAAAAUAGUAUUGCGGCAAAUAGCAUAUGAAUGAUACUCCCUCCAUUCCAGUUUUAUGUGACAACAUUUGCUUUUUAGUCCUUUCCUUCAAAAUAAAAAAGCAGCUUCUAAUUUGAAAACUAUUUAGUCUGAACUUCUCAUUUUUACCCUUUAUGAGAAGCUUUUAUGGCCACACAAAUGUUAUGACAUGUUUAACACCACAAGUUUCAAAAGUUUUUUUCUUUUCUUCUUAAACUCUAUGCCCUAUCAAACUAUGCCACUUAAAUCGAAACUGAAGGAGUAAUUGUUUUAUCAAGCACUUGGUAAUCAGCUAUAUGAUGUGUUGUCUGGGUGUACUUCAGGACAAAUAUUCUUGAUAGCAAAGAUAAAUACAGUGUAUGGCUAUAGCACCGUUCAAUAUGAUCGAUGAACACUUCCAAGUCUCUUAUUUUGCAAUAUGUUUGGAGACGUCUAGUCAGUGCAGGAGUUAGAUGCAACUGGAUGAGCAAACUGAAGAGGAGCUUAAUGAUUCCAGGACUUUUCUUAAUCCUCUUGCUGGUGCAGCUCUUCAUUUAUGUCCACAUUUUAUGUCAAAAUUUCAGUUCAUGACAGGAAAAGAGAAGGAUUUGGAGAUCAAUCAGCUAUAACUGAUGACAGGUUCCUUGUAAUUUGUUUGCUCAUGCAUCUCUUGAUUCCUUAGUGUUGGUAUUGGAGAUUCAAUCAGCUCUACUUUAUCAACAUGUCAAGAAAAACUGAUCAAGUAGGCCCAGACCCUGAAACUUCAACUCUGGCACAUUCUCAAAAUCCUUUAAAGUUAAUGAAAAUGCUCUUUUAAUACCAGGGGAUAACAGUAAAAUAGAAAUUUAUAGAUGAGCCUUUUGAGGUAUUGACGGAUGACUGUGAAACUAAUGAUAAGAUUGGGAAUUUUUUAUCACAUUGUUGAUUUUGCAAUAAUUGUAGAAGGAAGAAGAACCAGCCUAGAAUAAUAUGCGGAGUAACUUAUGCCAAAAACAAAUGUGGGAGUCUUCAAUGUUAACCUAUUCAGCAUUUCAUAAAGAUGUCGAAGAUGAAACUGUGAAAAGCUGAAAAUAUUACUGAAGGGAACAAAUCAGCUAAAAACUUUCCAGCAGAAAUUUCUUGUAAAGAUCUUUGAAAAUAUAUCGAAUUCAAGAGGUGAAAGUAGAGUGUUCAACUAAUUGAAGCUCAACAGGUGGAGAUACUGAGAGUGAAGAAGAGGUUGCAUUUACUGAAGCAGAAAAUGUCAAUGAAGGCAUAAGAAACUUCAUCAGAUUUCUCUGGAAAGUCAUCAGGCCCCGUGAAGAAACAGAAGAGAGUGAAUGAUAAUCAUCCAGGGAAGGAAUCCUGUGAAGAAAGGGAUAGAGGUGCGCAACUGGAGAUAUAGAAGUUAGAAUAGUUUCUAAGCAAUUGCCUGCCGAAGAGGGAUUAUGUAUUUCUGGAUAGAAUUAUGUGCAGAGGACUAUCUAAGAUCUUUUAUGCCAGUACAUGUGAAGUAUCACUGCUACCCAUUGCUCCUUUGAGAGCCAUGCGAUCUUGGAGGCGAAAAGCACGAUGUGAUUUCUUUGCAUCUGGACAGGCCUUGGUAGUAAGAGUUAAUCAGUGUCUCUAUUGGUGGGAGGUAGCAACCUAGCAGGUACCUGGUAGAAUAGUCGAGGGGGCUCAAGUUGGUCCGAACACCACUAUCAUAAAAAAAAAAAAGAAGAAAGAAGUUUAUGGAACUUGUUUAGAUUGCAUGAUCUUACCUAUUUACAAUUCGUGGUUAUAUCUGCUUAUUUACACCAAUUAUUGUUUGUUAUUUGCAUCAAAAAUAGAUUUUUAAAGCAAAUGGCUAACUAUAUUUGGCCUAGUAAUUACUUUGACAACCAGAUAAAAGAACCCUUUUUUUUUAAUCAAUUUCGCUAGGCAAGGUGUGCCUAGGGCUAGUUUUUAUUAAUAAAGAAAAAGGACCUCAAAGAGAAAAGUACAAACAAGGGGGGCUAGGCCUUACCUUACUAAUCCUAAUGAGGUAACGAACCUCUACUAAUUAAUAAGCAUGAAGAAAAUAAGAGCUAGAGAAAACUAGUAUUCUAUAAUCAUCAUAGAGUUUAUAAUACACUCUGUGAUGAUACUACAAAUAAGGAUGCUUAAGUAAUGCCAAAAUAUAAAAUCUAAGAAUAAAGUUGAGUUAUCAACCUCAAACUUUAUUUUAUAUAUGUAGGAAUUAAAAAAGAUAGUUUGCCCGUGUAAAGUAGCCUGAAGUAUUUCCCUCGUCUUCUUCGUCAAAUAUGUCCAACAAAACUUGAUAGUUCAUCACUUCUUUUUGGAUUUAUUUGAUCUUGUUGUUGUUGAAACUUUCAUAUGAUUUUGCUUUGCCAAUCGCAUCGGUAUGUUCCUUGGAAUAAAUUCCUCAGUCAACUUACCAUCCCAACUAUGUUGCCUUUCAUGUGUCGUUUUUUUUUUGUUGCUUCCACUUCUUUGUUGCCUAGGUGAGAGAUCCCCAUCCUUGGCUACCUUAUCAAAUAAUAUGUCUAGCAUAUCAUCCUCAUCAUCCCCAUCAAACAUGUCACUGCCCAAGUCAAUAUCAUUAGUUGUAGUUGGACUAAGUCUUGAAACUACAUCUUCUGACUCAUGGCUCUUUUCCAAUACCUUGGUGGUAAUGGUCAAGUUCUUUUUAGAGUUAUCAACUGUCACUUCCAUAGAUGGAUUUGGCUUACUUGAAGGCACAAAUGUGGGUGCCUGAAGACUUAACUUCCUCCUUGCUGGUGAAAUAAUAUGCUCCUCUUCCUCAACUAAAUCUGCCCACCUAGAAGCACUCAUUUCCUGUUGGUUUUUCUUAUAAACAAUCAAAUCGUUUGUAAAAUUAGCUUGAGAGAUGGACGAAUUACCUUUCACCAAAGUCUUGUCAUUCCUUAUGGAGAUUAGCUGCUGCCCGGAUAUUUGCUCUCCAAGCGACUCCAAAGAUGGGGAAGGAACAUCAUGAUCUGAGGUGUUGAUUGUGGCCGUAGGUGAUUUGACCAUUGGGUUUGCUUUAUUCAACAUUGCGGCCUGUGGCUCCUUGAUUAUUCUAUUAGUUUCUGUAUUAGAAACUUGAAGAACUGGAUUGGAUGCAUGGAGCUCUUGAUCAGAAUUGAUCAUUAGGGCAUCAAGGGUGUUAGAGCACACCACCUUUCUUGAUACUUUAUCUUCACAAUUUACUGUCUGCUCGUUGCGAGUUGGGUUAGUGCCAUCAAGUUGUUGUAUUUUGGUGCUACCUGGAGAAUUUUUUUUGCUUGGUACUUCAGUCCAGCCUCCCUUAUCAUUGUCAUUCAAAGCGAAGUCAUGAUCACAUGUACCACCAGAUUCAAAGUUUUGAUCCAAAUUUUCUCCACGCUGCUGCACCUUAUUAGCCUGGCCUGGAUCUUUAAUCGUAGCCAAACUAGGAUCUUUACCAGAUAAAACACCAGCAGCAGGUAUUUUAGGAUUAGGCGCUAGAUCAGUCUCCAAGUUAAUAACAGGAACCACUGAAUCGCUAGUAUCACCAUCCUUUGCACCAAAAACCAAAGUCUGCGAGAUCGUAGCUAAGGUGCAAUUUACUGUAGCUAUAGUAUUUAGAGUAUCAUCUCGAACACAAGUAUCAACUACUCGAUCUCUAUUAUUUUCAACAGCUUCCACCAUUGCCAUUUUAUUAUUAUUUGCAUCUGUAUCUCGAGUAUUAUCAUCAGUACUUUGAUCUAUAUUUGCUAGUCCCCUGAAAUAUUCCAAAGAGUUCAAUUUUCGAGCAAGCAAGAUUACGCCAUCUGCAGCAAGGUGUAAUGUGAGUAUUUUUCUUUUGAUAAAGUUAGAAAUGAUAAAAAUGUAGAGAUCUUGUGUAGGGAAUUAUAUGUCGAUCCUGAAACAAUUUACUAUUAAGUAGAAUUACAGAGAAUAGCCAUGUUGCCCGUUGGUAAAGAGUAAAAGUUUCACGGGUACCGUAUUUGUAUUCCGUUAUUUAACCUGAAGCCAGUUUUAAAACUUUUUUGCAUGCCUACCACUUCGGAACUAGACCAAAUGUCUUGUUCUUCUUUAGACCAUCAAUAGGGAAUGUGAGUUGGGUUUAGACUGUCGUGAGACUGCUUAGUUUUACCCUACUGAUAACCGUGUCACAAUAGUAAUACAUCCUAGUACCUCUUGUUAAAAUUUGAAGUUUAGUCAUGCUUCACCAAGGAUGAUUAUUCCACAUUUGAAACAAUGACUAUGGAAUGCAGAAUGAAAGAAAUCAGUGACAAUUUUGAAGACAAACCUACAUUGUACAUUUCCUGAAAUUCAAGUUUCUGAAACUUUUUAACACGGUAUAUAUUAUGUUUUGUAAAUGAUGAGAAUAGCUUGGUAGAUGUCAUAGAUUCUACGUACAAAAAGCUCACUGUAAAUGGUUAGCUUUCUUUAUGCAAUGUUUACAUUAAUUAAUGCUUCACUUUUUUGUCCAUUUCAUAUAUCUUUUGCUUUCCCAUAUGCUUUGUGUUCCUUCUGCGUUUUUCCGACAGUAGACAUGUCAUUUAAUAAGAACACUAGUCUUCAACUCUCUCUCUCUGUUUUAAUCAACGGUGGUGUCCGAACCAGUUUGGGCACACCUCUACUAUUCCACCAUACUUGCUACCUCUCAGUGCUCCUACCAGCUCAAUGCAGAGCAGGACGCAGUUUUUUGGGGGAGAAUCACUUGGCACGAGAGGCCUCCCGUAUGAGGUCAUGUAGAUUGUUUUGGGGGAGAAUCACUCAGCACGAGAGGCCUCCCGUAUGAGGUCAUGUAGAUUGUUUUGGGGGAGAAUCACUCAGCUCGGGACCUCCCAUGUGAGGUUAGGUGAUAUUCAACAAUUCAGGCAGGAAUUGUUGAAAAGUGGCUAACAAUGAUGAGAUAAUGGUAGAUGGUGUUCAAGCAACUCGUGAUUCGACUAUUUCAAUGGAUACCUGCUGCUUGUAACCUGCACAGAUAUCAGGUACCACCCAUCAAAACUUAGAUAUGAGACAUCACCUAGCGUUGCUUGUUUUCAUGGUAACAAAACUCUUAAACCUAAUACAUAGAUGCCAAAAUGGCUGGUGCUCUACUUAGUGGCAGAGCUAUAUUUAUCGAGUUCAAUUGAAUUCUUUUGUCGGAAAAUUAUGUUAUGUAUAUAGGUGAUAUAUAAAGUGUUGUAUCACCUAAACACAAAAGAGCAUUUUUUAUUUAUUUGUUUGGAUUACCUCUUUGAAGUUUCUGCUUCCGCCACAUGUAAUAGCAAUUCGUUUGAACACAAAUCAAUCCACAAAAUUAUGUAGUAGUUUUAUAAAGAUGUAUAUAAUUCCUUG